GCCGUCCUGCCUCGCCGGGAGGGACACGGAGCUGCCGCCGCCGCGAUCUGGGUCACCCGGCGCGGCGCCCGGCGAAGAUAUGGCAGGUGUGCAUAUAGAUCCAGAGAAGUAAAUGAAAACCAGAUUACAAGAGCAGCAAGUGGGGUGACCCAAGUAUCCAACCAUGUUUUGUGUAGAAAAUUUCAACUUAGAGUUGCACAGCUAUUCUUCUUACGAAGAAGGUAAACCAAUUGCAUGAGCAACAGCUAACAAGACCUCCUGAGAUGAUGCCUGAACUGAACUGAAAGGAUGGAGGUCUAGUUUAAGGAAUACAUUGCAAUAUUCUCUCCAGUCUCACUGGAGGCCCCAAGGAUCUCACUUACGAUGGAAAUGAAAUAUUUAAUUCUUUGUAUGUAAACAAUACUAUGUCUUUAAAAAAUAACUUCACAGAUUGUGUCCAGGCUGCAAGCACCACAUCCUUAAAAAUGUAUUGAUUGAUGAAGUAGACAGAAUUAGUGCCUGAUAUUCCAUUAUUGUCCUUAUGAUACAUUUGUGCCCUAAAGUUAUAACUGUGAGAAAUGAUGGUUUCCAAAGAUACGCAGGAAAGCAGGCUGCCUGCCCAGUGUAGAUAUCAGGGAGGAUCCCUGUGUAAGGUCGCAUUGCUUUCUGCAUGCCUAUGAAAUCCUAAUUGCUUGUGACAGAACUGAAUUUUGCCAGGUUAGUGUAAGAUUUUGACUGUAGGGCCAGAAGAGUAUAAUAUAAUUCCAACAGUAAUUAAAAAAAAUAUAUAUUUCCUAUUUCUUUAUGGAAAACAGGCAUGAAGAGUGAAACUGUAAAGUACAUGCAGACUUUGAAGAAGAGUUGAUAAUUUUCAGUCUUCAUGUCAGAGAAAACAGAAAUAUUUUGUUUGAAUCUUUCUAACAACAUUGCUUUCAAGGCUAAACUAAACCGUGUGUUCACUGAUUUGGAAUGUUUCUUUCAGUACUUCAUAUUACUUUUCUGACACCCUGAAAAGUGUACUAGAUUGGCACAAGAUCUUCCUUUGCCUGAACUGCAGAGAAAGAGUCACGUGGGCAGUGAAAGCAACAGUUCUUGUUCAGCAGAGAAUUAUCAUCUCUUCUUCAAAGCCUGCAUGGCUUUGGAAAGAUUUAAAGCCCCAAGUCUCCAAGAUUGUUUACGCCCAGAGAAAAACUAGAAAAUUAAAACCGAGGACAAAACAA